GCCGUUUUAGUUCAGUGGUAGAACAGGAGCAUGGUAAGCUUCAAAGGAAUGUUCAAUUCAUUCAUUCGGCACCA
rnacentral:tRNA from 2 species